GGCGCACAUAAGACAUGCAAGUCGAACGGACUUAAUUCAUUCUUUUAGAUUGGAAGCGGUUAGUGGCGGACUGGUGAGUAACGCGUGAGCAACCUGCCUAUUAGAGGGGAAUAACAGUGAGAAAUCAUUGCUAAUACCGCAUAUGCUUACACUAUUGCAUGAUAGAGUAAGGAAAGGAGCAAUCCGCUAAUAGAUGGGCUCGCGUCUGAUUAGCUAGUUGGUGGGGUAGAAGCCUACCAAGGCGACGAUCAGUAGCCGGACUGAGAGGUUGAACGGCCACAUUGGGACUGAGAUACGGCCCAGACUCCUACGGGAGGCAGCAGUCGGGAAUAUUGCGCAAUGGAGGGAACUCUGACGCAGUGACGCCGCGUAUAGGAAGAAGGUUUUCGGAUUGUAAACUAUUGUCGUUAGGGAAGAAAAAAGACAGUACCUAAGGAGGAAGCCCCGGCUAACUAUGUGCCAGCAGCCGCGGUAAUACAUAGGGGGCAAGCGUUAUCCGGAAUUAUUGGGUGUAAAGGGUGCGUAGACGGGUGUUUAAGUUGGUUGUGAAAUCCCUCGGCUCAACUGAGGAACUGCAACCAAAACUGGAUAUCUUGAGUGUCGGAGAGGAAAGUGGAAUUCCUAGUGUAGCGGUGAAAUGCGUAGAUAUUAGGAGGAACACCAGUGGCGAAAGGCGACUUUCUGGACGAUAACUGACGUUGAGGGCACGAAAGUGUGGGGAGCAAACAGGAUUAGAUACCCUGGUAGUCCACACUGUAAACGAUGGAUACUAGGUGUAGGGUGUAUUAAACAUUCUGUGCCGCCGCAAACGCAUUAAGUAUCCCACCUGGGGAGUACGACCGCAAGGUUGAAACUCAAAGGAAUUGACGGGGGCCCGCACAAGCAGUGGAGUAUGUGGUUUAAUUCGAAGCAACGCGAAGAACCUUACCAGGGCUUGACAUAUACAGGAAUAAGUAAGAGAUUACUUAGCUCUUCGGAGUCUGUAUACAGGUGGUGCAUGGUUGUCGUCAGCUCGUGUCGUGAGAUGUUGGGUUAAGUCCCGCAACGAGCGCAACCCCUGUCCUUAGUUGCCAGCACGUAAAGGUGGGAACUCUAAGGAGACUGCCGGUGAUAAAUCGGAGGAAGGUGGGGAUGACGUCAAAUCAUCAUGCCCUUUAUGUCCUGGGCUACACACGUACUACAAUGGCCGUGACAGAGAGAAACGAAGUAGUGAUGCAGAGUAAAACUCAAAAAACGGUCUCAGUUCGGAUU
rnacentral:rRNA from 1 species